rnacentral:rRNA from 1 species
UACAGAGGUCUCAAGCGUUGUUCGGAUUCACUGGGUUUAAAGGGUGCGUAGGCGGGCAGGUAAGUCAGUGGUGAAAUCUCCAAGCUUAACUUGGAAACUGCCGUUGAUACUAUCUGUCUUGAAUACCGUGGAGGUGAGCGGAAUAUGUCAUGUAGCGGUGAAAUGCUUAGAUAUGACAUAGAACACCAAUUGCGAAGGCAGCUCGCUACACGAAUAUUGACUCUGAGGCACGAAAGCGUGGGGAGCAAACAGG